rnacentral:rRNA from 1 species
UACGGAGGAUGCAAGCGUUAUCCGGAUUUAUUGGGUUUAAAGGGUGCGCAGGUUGUUUGAUAAGUCAGUGGUGAAAGUCUGUCGCUUAACGGUAGGAUUGCCAUUGAUACUGUUAGACUUGAAUAUGGAUGAGGUAGGCGGAAUGUGUAGUGUAGCGGUGAAAUGCAUAGAUAUUACACAGAACACCGAUUGUGAAGGCAGCUUACUAAUCCAUCAUUGACGCUGAGGCACGAAAGCGUGGGGAUCAAACAGGA